GCCUCUGUGGAUUAGUGGUAGAUCACCUCAGAUUUAUAGAUAUGUGCUCAAUUGAUUAUGGGGAGCUGUGGGUUCGAAUCCCAUCAGAGGCA